GUAUCAAGACCAGGAUUGAGACAAAAAACACAUGUAACAGGAUCAAUACCAAAUUUGCUAAGAUAUUCACUAGUAGGCAGUUUUUUCCCCAAGGCCCUCCACACAAGAAAACAGCAUUUAAAGGGGAUAUGCUUAUUCCAGGUAUAUUUAUUCACCAUUGUAUGAUCUCUAUGUUCCCUCAUUCUAGAAGGAUGAAACUUUCACAUUAUUUGACCUUGCUCCACCAGGUCUAAGAUAGUGUAGAGGUCUUAGACCUAUCCAAUUGUCCCACCAAAAAUAACAAUUACCAGAUGUGAGUCUCCACAAAAUGUGUUUUUUUUACUUUAUUUUUUAAUUUUUAUGAUAUUUUUCCACACCAGAGAUUGGCCAUUGCACUAUUUCCUGGCCACUGGGUUAACUCUUUGAUAGUAUUUGGCUUUCAAAAACUUACCCCAAAGAGAUUCCUGUGUUCUUAGACAACACCAUUAUUUGAUUUUCAUAGUCUACAAGUAUCAACCAGAUGCCUUAUCCCAACACUCUCUUCAUUGCAGGGAAGGCAUAAUUUUCUCUAGGCAGCCUAAUGGAAUUUCUUCCUAUUAUCUUUCCAUCCCCAAAAGAAGUUAACAAAUAAGCUAGAGAGUUGCUUCAAGGUAGUUUUAGCAGGUGUACAAGCAGAGAAAAUAUGCACUGGGAUUGAUUGUAAAACAUGUUUUAUCAAGAUUGCUCUUUCACCAUAGCUGAGAAGUAUUGAUUGCCAACUAGUAAUCCUAGAGACAAUUUUGCUAACCAUACCACAAUUAUGACUGAUUCUCUACCUCC
rnacentral:lncRNA from 1 species